rnacentral:rRNA from 1 species
GCAGUCCUACGGGACGCAGCAGUGGGGGAUAUUGCACAAUGGGGGGAACCCUGAUGCAGCGACGCCGCGUGGGCGAUGGAGCGCCUCGGCGCGUAAAGCCCUAUCAGCAGGGAAGAAGAUGACGGUACCUGACUAAGAAGCCCCGGCUAAAUACGUGCCAGCAGCCGCGGUAAUACGUAUGGGGCAAGCGUUAUCCGGAUUUACUGGGUGUAAAGGGGGCGCAGACGGCGAUGCAAGCCAGGAGUGAAAGCCCGGGGCCCAACCCCGGGACUGCUCUUGGAACUGCGUGGCUGGAGUGCAGGAGG